rnacentral:rRNA from 1 species
CAACAGGGAUUGCCCUAGUAACGGCGAGUGAAGCGGCAUCAGCUCAAAUUUGAAAUCUGGCUCUUUCAGGGUCCGAGUUGUAAUUUGCAGAGGGCGCUUUGGUGUUGGCAGCGGUCCAAGUUCCUUGGAACAGGACGUCACAGAGGGUGAGAAUCCCGUACGUGGUCGCUGGCCUUCGCCGUGUAAAGCCCCUUCGACGAGUCGAGUUGUUUGGGAAUGCAGCUCUAAAUGGGAGGUAAAUUUCUUCUAAAGCUAAAUACUGGCCAGAGACCGAUAGCGCACAAGUAGAGUGAUCGAAAGAUGAAAAGCACUUUGGAAAGAGAGUCAAAUAGCACGUGAAAUUGUUGAAAGGGAAGCGCUUGCAGCCAGACUUGCCUGUAGUUGCUCAUCUAGGCUCUUUGCCUAGUGCACUCUUCUGCGGGCAGGCCAGCAUCAGUCUAGGCGGUUGGAUAAAGGCCUCUGUCAUGUACCUCCUCUCGGGGAGGCCUUAUAGGGGAGGCGUAAUGCAACCAGCCUGGACUGAGGUCCGCGCAUCUGCUAGGAUGCUGGCGUAAUGGCUGUAAGCGGCCCGUCUUGAAACACGGACCAAGGAGUCUAACAUCUAUGCGAGUGUUUGGGUGUCAAGCCCGAGCGCGUAAUGAAAGUGAACGGAGGUGGGAUCCCUUUAGGGUGCACCAUCGACCGAUCCUGAUGUCUUCGGAUGGAUUUGAGUAAGAGCAUGGCUGUUGGGACCCGAAAGAUGGUGAACUAUGCUUGAAUAGGGUGAAGCCAGAGGAAACUCUGGUGGAGGCUCGCAGCGGUUCUGACGUGCAAAUCGAUCGUCAAAUUUGGGCAUAGGGGCGAAAGACUAAUCGAAC